rnacentral:lncRNA from 1 species
UCCCCCGUUAAUCGGAAUUCGUCCCCGAAUUCCAAAGCCCACAUCUUUCAGACCAAUCGUUCGUUACCAAAAUGGAUUCACACAUUCACACAACAAUCAAGGGAGGCAUACAUGACACGAUAACUCUACUGGAAUCUUUAAAACCAACGAAGGAAUGUCAUAAAUAAUAAAAGGAGUAGGACUACAAUAGUUUGUAAAAGAAAACCCAGCACAUCUGCACAAUACAGAAUGCCGUAAAUAAGGGAAGGAACACCAACUCCAAUAACCAAUAAAUGAAAUAAAACCAAUAGCGAAACACGUGUCCUACUCCUACGAAUCGUCUCUAGGAUCUCGUCUAGCCACAUUGACAUGGCGAGGGGCAGCGGGACUCGGAUCCCAGGUCUUCAUCGCCCUCUGCGACGCGGUCCUCCUCGGCCUCCGCCUCCUUUCCCGCCAACCACUCCUCCGCGUGCAGUGCUUGGUUAGCCAUCCUUCUCACCAGUGCAAAUUCCAGAGGCUCCAGGACUCCCACGAGUUCUUCACGAAUAUCCCCACGUAGCCCGGCCCUAAACAGAUGACACCACUCCUCAGCUGGCUUCGGUUGACACAUCUUGGCCGUAUCCAAGAACUCCUCCAGGUAAUCUCUCACCUUGCGUGGCUUCUGAACCAUCUGGACCAGUACGUCACAAUCACAUGUUACUGUAGGUGGUUUUCGCGGACGCCCCCGCUUUCCCUUAGCGGGUGUCCCUACCGGCACCUCAUGGCCAUCGACGUCCCCACCCGGGUUUCCUCCUUCCAUGCUCGAGAGAGCGGCCACAUCGGCUGCAAUCUUCUCUUCUGCCUCCAUGGCGAAGCCUGCCAUCCGCCUCACUAACGCGAACUCCAAGGGCUCCAAAACACCCCUCAACUGCGCCUGGAGCUCCUGGCGUAGCCCGUUCUUAUACCAUAUGCACCACGUCUCUGCAUUCUUCGGUUUGCACAGCUUGGCUUGGUUGAUGAAGUCCUCCGUGUAUCCAGCGACUGAUCGGUCCUCCUGAGCAUUCUUGCUCAGCACUCCACACUGGCACUUCCCGGUGAACGCCCUUGGGGGUCCCCCUGCUGCACUUGGCGUCUUGCAGGGACGGCCACGCUUCCUCGGGGGUCCCUCUUCGGUUGCAAGCUGGAACCUCGCAUUGCCCUGCAGUAGGCGUGUCUCCAUAGCCAUCCUCUGGAAAUGAGGCAUCAACACCUUAUGCCUCACAGUCUGCUCGUGCGGGUACCUGAAUGGGAACUCCCUGUACUGUUCUUCAGGAUCCGGAAACAUGGGUAGCACCAAGUUACCCUCCCUGUCAUAGUGACGCCUUUGGGCAUACUCCCUGGUGUUCCUCCGUCCGUAGUGCAUACGCGGCAUCCUCCACUCGUAAUGGUCAAGCGAAAACAUCCUGCAAUAAAAUUUCAAUCAGAACCAUAAUAGAAGUAUGGAUAUAGUGGGAUUUUCAAUUAAUUUUUCACAAUCCGAAAAUACUUAGUAAUAUUGCAAUUUUUUUUUUUUUUUUUUUUUUUUUUUUUUUUUUCCGAAAACGAAAUAUAAAUUUUUUUUUUUUUUUUUUUUUAAAACGUCGGAAAUGCCGAUCCCUUAGGCAGAACUAAGGGAUCUUAACCCGCUCUGAUACCAAUUGUAACAGCCCGAUCCCCCGGCGUCCGACCGGUUAUCGAAGGGGCGUUAUGGACACGUGUCUACUCAUUUAGACAACCCUACGUGUCCCGUUACUGGUCCCGAGAGACGAGCGCAUAACCUUCUUUGAAAAACGUCACACCCACAUCCAUAUACUUCUACUUACAGUCCUGCGCACAGGGAAAAUGGAAAUGGAGGGGUGAGCAACAAGUUACUCAGUGAAGUGGUUCUAGACCAGCCUGCCCGCAUGACACUCUAUACUACUCUAUGCGGGAACUAGGACUGACUAGCCACUACAAUCAGUUAAUGCAUUUUUAUCAUUUCCUAUCGUCAUCUGUAAUUUCCACAUUCACUUCCAUUCAUUUCUAACAACCUAGCGAUCAAUCAAUACAAUGAUCUCACUCAUUGCCACACACGUCAAACCCUAGACUUAACCGACUCAUCUUACCAGUCCGACUCGAUCCUAUGACACCUUUAACUUCCCGUUACCCGACCAUGAGCUAAAACCCUACAAUGCACAUCUUUUCAUCUUUUCAUCUUUUCCUCUUUUCCUCUUUUCCUCUUUUCCUCAGUGGGUAGCCCCCCACUAGGCUUCUACCCCAUAUUCAUGUGGAUUCGCCACAUCUCCUAUGGGUGCUUCCAUAUUCAUGUGGAUUCGCCACAUCUCCUAUGGAUACCUAGCGUGGACUACUUACCCCACCUACAAACCUUAGACUCUCUAUAUGCUUUCCCACCCAUGCUUAACCUUAACAUCGUUCUUUCAUACUUUUACUUAUCCUUUCACUUCCUUAUCGUCUUCACUUAAUCCCUCCCAUUCCCAAUUACUUUCCCUUUUCAUUCAUACUUGUACUUGGACUCAAUCACUAGACGCCACCCGUUAUCGGUGUCACACACAAUACACAUCGCAUUCAAGUUCUACUUCAAUAACAUUAUCAAUCAUUGCUCAUCUAUCAUCCUAGCAUCAUUUCUCUCUAGCAUCCUAACUUCAAUCACAACCACACAUGGGACUACACAUUCAAACAUACAAGCAUCACUCAUCAACCAAUCAACAUCACCACAACAUAGAUCAGUUCAUCAAGUCCCAUUUAUCAGUAUGAGGGUUCUUAUGCAUCAUGAUCCAUUCAUCUAUCAUCCUAGCAAUACCAUGUCCUAUCAACCUAACUCCCAAUCAGGGUCUAAUCAAACCUAACUCCAACAUAUAGGAGUAUACAGAACCAUGAAAGAAGGUUGGGUUCGAAACACUCCACCUUAGUCUUAGAUCUGGAUCUGGAAACGAGGAUUGAGAAGGUUGAGAUCUGGUCAGCACCACCACUUCACGGCGCCGGCGAGAGGGAGAGAGAGAGAGAGCGUGCGACGGCGAGGAGAGAGAGAGAGAGCGACGCGCGGGAGAGAGAGAGGAGAGAGAGAGACGGCGCAGGAGAGAAGGAGAGAGAGCUCGACGGCUAGGGUUUUCGACCUCCGGGAAUUCUCUGCAGAGCUUCGCUUCAGAUUUGUGAUGAGGCAAAAAGGGAGACUGCAUCUCUUUUUAUAGUAAAGGGAAGGGGAAGCCCUAGGGUUUUGCUAAAUGGGCCGUAGAGAAGCCCAUAUUCUUUGGGAAAUUUUUAUGGGCCAGGAACCGGGCCGUUACAAUCCUCCCCCGUUAAUCGGAAUUCGUCCCCGAAUUCCAAAGCCCACAUCUUUCAGACCAAUCGUUCGUUACCAAAAUGGAUUCACACAUUCACACAACAAUCAAGGGAGGCAUACAUGACACGAUAACUCUACUGGAAUCUUUAAAACCAACGAAGGAAUGUCAUAAAUAAUAAAAGGAGUAGGACUACAAUAGUUUGUAAAAGAAAACCCAGCACCUCUGCACAAUACAGAAUGCCGUAAAUAAGGGAAGGAACACCAACUCCAAUAACCAAUAAAUGAAAUAAAACCAAUAGCGAAACACGUGUCCUACUCCUACGAAUCGUCUCUAGGAUCUCGUCUAGCCACAUUGACAUGGCGAGGGGCAGCGGGACUCGGAUCCCAGGUCUUCAUCGCCCUCUGCGACGCGGUCCUCCUCGGCCUCCGCCUCCUUUCCCGCCAACCACUCCUCCGCGUGCAGUGCUUGGUUAGCCAUCCUUCUCACCAGUGCAAAUUCCAGAGGCUCCAGGACUCCCACGAGUUCUUCACGAAUAUCCCCACGUAGCCCGGCCCUAAACAGAUGACACCACUCCUCAGCUGGCUUCGGUUGACACAUCUUGGCCGUAUCCAAGAACUCCUCCAGGUAAUCUCUCACCUUGCGUGGCUUCUGAACCAUCUGGACCAGUACGUCACAAUCACAUGUUACUGUAGGUGGUUUUCGCGGACGCCCCCGCUUUCCCUUAGCGGGUGUCCCUACCGGCACCUCAUGGCCAUCGACGUCCCCACCCGGGUUUCCUCCUUCCAUGCUCGAGAGAGCGGCCACAUCGGCUGCAAUCUUCUCUUCUGCCUCCAUGGCGAAGCCUGCCAUCCGCCUCACUAACGCGAACUCCAAGGGCUCCAAAACACCCCUCAACUGCGCCUGGAGCUCCUGGCGUAGCCCGUUCUUAUACCAUAUGCACCACGUCUCUGCAUUCUUCGGUUUGCACAGCUUGGCUUGGUUGAUGAAGUCCUCCGUGUAUCCAGCGACUGAUCGGUCCUCCUGAGCAUUCUUGCUCAGCACUCCACACUGGCACUUCCCGGUGAACGCCCUUGGGGGUCCCCCUGCUGCACUUGGCGUCUUGCAGGGACGGCCACGCUUCCUCGGGGGUCCCUCUUCGGUUGCAAGC